GACGAACGCUGGCGGCGUGCUUAACACAUGCAAGUCGAACGGAAAGGCCCUGCUUUUGUGGGGUGCUCGAGUGGCGAACGGGUGAGUAACACGUGAGUAACCUGCCCUUGACUUUGGGAUAACUUCAGGAAACUGGGGCUAAUACCGGAUAGGAGCUCCUGCUGCAUGGUGGGGUUUGGAACGUUUCGGCGGUUGGGGAUGGACUCGCGGCUUAUCAGCUGGUUGGUGGGGUAGUGGCUUACCAAGGCUUUGACGGGUAGCCGGCCUGAGAGGGUGACCGGCCACAUUGGGACUGAGAUACGGCCCAGACUCCUACGGGAGGCAGCAGUGGGGAAUAUUGCACAAUGGGCGGAAGCCUGAUGCAGCAACGCCGCGUGCGGGAUGACGGCCUUCGGGUUGUAAACCGCUUUCGCCUGUGACGAAGCGUGAGUGACGGUAAUGGGUAAAGAAGCACCGGCUAACUACGUG
rnacentral:rRNA from 1 species